GACAAGACAGCAAAACAUUGAGCUGUGCCAAUGUCAAAUUGAUGUCUGAGCUGCUAGCUGCGCUGCCAUUUAUUCCUCCAUGUGCUGCUUAGUUGUUUUCUAAAAGGUGUGGACAUUCUGAUAGCUUGACUGCUUCUCCUGCUGCUCAUCCUGAUCAUGACUAUGCUGCACCCACCAGUGAUCAGUUACAGGCUGCUGUGCUUCACAUCCGACAAUUGGCAGCUGAGAAUCAACAGCUACGAGCUCUGAGGUUUGACACAUCCAGGUUCUCCAAAGAUCCUGAAAUGAUGGAGUUCUACACUAGCUUUGAUACUUAUGAGCAAUUCAUGAACACGUUCCAGGCCUUACAACCCAGAAUGCUAAGGACAGGUGCCUGGGUUGCCAUUAAAGACCCAAUGGAGACUGAAAACCUUGAACCAAUUGACCAGUUCUUCCUGUUCUUAUGCGGUGUUGGGCUGGACUCUUAGAGCAGGAUUUAGCGGUGCGAUUUGGGAUCAGUCUUGCUGCUGUGAAUGGAAUCCUGAACAUCUGGACCAGCUGUCUGCACUGCAUUCUGGCUUCGCUCCCUGUUUGGCCAUCCAGGUGCAACGAGGCACAUACCAUAAUUAAAUGAGCUAGUGGGAUGUUUCACAAAACAUUUGGUAGAAGUGCUGAACAAAAUCAUUGGAAAUUUAUAGUAGUGUUCUUAUUUUGACU